UACGUAGGGGGCAAGCGUUGUCCGGAUUUAUUGGGCGUAAAGAGCGUGUAGGCGGCUUUACAGGUCCGUUGUGAAAACUCGAGGCUCAACCUCGAGACGCCGGUGGAAACCGUAAGGCUAGAGUCCGGAAGAGGAGAGUGGAAUUCCUGGUGUAGCGGUGAAAUGCGCAGAUAUCAGGAGGAACACCGGUGGCGAAGGCGGGUCUUGCCGUGGCCGAUGACUGACGGUGAGGAAGCGAAGGCGUAGGGA
rnacentral:rRNA from 1 species